rnacentral:lncRNA from 1 species
CUUCACCAAUAAUCCAAGAUGACUUCGAUCAUCCAGAGUGUACUCCUUCUACUUAUUAAAAAAGUUAACCGUAAGACAGCCUCAGGCAGGUUCUUCAGGAGGUAUCCAGAAGAAGGCACUGUUACCACAGGAGAUGACAGCUCCGUGCAUGCUAUUGCCCCUGAAGACCUUCCAGUGGGACAAGAUCUGGAGGUAGAAGACAGUGAUACUGACGAACCUGACACCGUGGAGGCCUAGGCUAAUGUGCGUGGUUGUGUCUUAGUUUGUAACAAAAGAAGUUUAAAAAGCAAAAAUACAAAUUAAAAAAUAGCUAGAAUAAGG